AAAGAUUCGUACAUUUUACUUCAUAGCAUGUGUAACCUCAAUUGUUUUCAUUUCUAGGAACUGUAAUGUGCGUACUUCGCAGUCGUCAUUCUUCUUGAGGAAACAAAGCAAUUCGGAGUUUCUAACCUUGGAUUAAAAUUGCACAGUUGACUGGUGGAAUAUUCAAUGUAUACUUGACUAAGCAUUUGCAACACAAAUAAAUGUCAGGAAACGGGAAAGCAAAUAAUACGGAUGAAAUGUACUGCGAUCUGGUCCCAUCAACUGCCAACUAAUCAGUUGUUCGUGACCUAAAAGAUGAAAAUGUGUAACAGGAAAAGGAGCAAAACCUUGAUGAGCGAGAAUUUGAAAAAACACAUGAGACUGAUUCGGUCGAGGCUGCGAUUAAAUCUGUCUAUUUGCACGAGCAAUGUUUAGAUAUAGAAUGUAGGAUGUAGGAUAUUACUGUGUAAAAGAUAAUGUAUGAUUGAAGACAGCUUUAUAAAUAAGAAUUAAUUAUCAACAACAUAAUGUCAUUAUCCCUUAUCAUUAUCUCUUACAAAUAAAAAACAACGUUUUCACUGAUGUUGCUCCAAUGGUGGGCCAACAUGCCCACCA